rnacentral:rRNA from 1 species
UGGUGGGUAGUUUGACUGGGGCGGUCUCCUCCCAAAGCGUAACGGAGGAGCACGAAGGUUAGCUAAUCCUGGUCGGACAUCAGGAGGUUAGUGCAAUGGCAUAAGCUAGCUUGACUGCGAGCGUGACGGCGCGAGCAGGUGCGAAAGCAGGUCAUAGUGAUCCGGUGGUUCUGAAUGGAAGGGCCAUCGCUCAACGGAUAAAAGGUACUCCGGGGAUAACAGGCUGAUACCGCCCAAGAGUUCAUAUCGACGGCGGUGUUUGGCACCUCGAUGUCGGCUCAUCACAUCCUGGGGCUGAAGUAGGUCCCAAGGGUAUGGCUGUUCGCCAUUUAAAGUGGUACGCGAGCUGGGUUUAGAACGUCGUG